UACGGGGGGGGCAAGCGUUGUUCGGAAUUACUGGGCGUAAAGAGCGUGUAGGCGGCCAGGUAGGUCGGUUGUGAAAACUGGAGGCUCAACCUUCAGAGGUCGACCGAAACCAUCUGGCUAGAGUCCGGGAGAGGAGAGUGGAAUUCCUGGUGUAGCGGUGAAAUGCGCAGAUAUCAGGAAGAACACCCGUGGCGAAAGCGGCUCUCUGGAACGGUACUGACGCUGAGACGCGAAAGCGUGGGGAGCGAACAGG
rnacentral:rRNA from 1 species